GCACCAGUGGUCUAGAGGUAGAAUAGUACCCUGCCACGGUACAGACCCUGGGUUCGAUUCCCGGCUGGUGCA
rnacentral:tRNA from 1 species